rnacentral:rRNA from 1 species
GUAAGGAAUAUUGCUCAAUGGGAGAAAUCCUGAAGCAGCAACGCCGCGUGGAGGAUGAAGGGUCUAUGACUUGUAAACUCCUGUAAAGAAGGAAAAAAUUCCCAUUAGAUGGGAGAUGAUGGUACCUCUGGAGUAAGCCCCGGCUAACUACGUGCCAGCAGCCGCGGUAAUACGUAGGGGGCAAGCGUUGUCCGGAUUUACUGGGUGUAAAGGGUGCUCAGGCGGAUUUGUAAGUCAGAGGUGAAAUCUUACAGCUUAACUGUGAAACUGCCUUUGAUACUGCAAGCCUAGAGUAUGGAAGAGAGUGAUGGAAUAUCUGGUGUAGCAGUGAAAUGCGUAGAUUUCAGAUAGAACACCAAUGGCGAAGGCAGUCACUUGGUCCAUCACUGACGCUAAAGCACGAAAGCGUGGGUAGCAAACA